GAUGAACGCUGGCGGCGUGCCUAAUACAUGCAAGUCGUACGGAAAGGCCCUUCGGGGUACUCGAGUGGCGGACGGCUGAGUAACGCGUGGGAACGCGCCCCAAAGUGAGGGAUAACGCACCGAAAGGUGUGCUAAUACCGCAUAUGGUCUUCGGAUUAAAGCUUCGGCGCUUUGGGAGCGGCCCGCGUACGAUUAGAUAGUUGAUGAGGUAAUGGCUCACCAAGUCGACGAUCGUUAGCUGGUCUGAGAGGAUGAUCAGCCAGACUGGGACUGAGACACGGCCCAGACUCCUACGGGAGGCAGCAGUAAGGAAUCUUCCACAAUGGGGGCAACCCUGAUGGAGCAACGCCGCGUGCAGGAUGAAGGUUUUCGGAUCGUAAACUGCUUUUAUAAGUGAAGAAUAUGACGGUAACUUAUGAAUAAGGAUCGGCUAACUACGUGCCAGCAGCCGCAGUAAUAC
rnacentral:rRNA from 1 species